rnacentral:rRNA from 1 species
CCUACGGGUGGCAGCAGUGGGGAAUAUUGCACAAUGGGCGCAAGCCUGAUGCAGCCAUGCCGCGUGUGUGAAGAAGGCCUUCGGGUUGUAAAGCACUUUCAGCGGGGAGGAAGGCGUUAAGGUUAAUAACCUUGUCGAUUGACGUUACCCGCAGAAGAAGCACCGGCUAACUCCGUGCCAGCAGCCGCGGUAAUACGGAGGGUGCAAGCGUUAAUCGGAAUUACUGGGCGUAAAGCGCACGCAGACGGUCUGUCAAGUCGGAUGUGAAAUCCCCGGGCUCAACCUGGGAACUGCAUUCGAAACUGGCAGGCUAGAGUCUUGUAGAGGGGGGUAGAAUUCCAGGUGUAGCGGUGAAAUGCGUAGAGAUCUGGAGGAAUACCGGUGGCGAAGGCGGCCCCCUGGACAAAGACUGACGCUCAGGUGCGAAAGCGUGGGGAGCAAACAGGAUUAGAUACCCUUGUAGUC